AUAGCUGUUGUUCCUGGAUGGAUCUGAAGCUCCUUUGUGCCACUGCUGAGUUGGAAGGUGCUGAUGGAGUGGAGGGAACGGACUGGCCGGGCUUUGGCAAUCUGGCCCCUCGAAAGACUGAAGUGACCUCUUCCAGCAGGGGAAGACUGAAGCAAGCGGUGCCAGGAAGAACUGGAGUUUCUGGAGAAUAAAAGCUGGAAGCGUGCCCCUGAAAAUCCCCAGCCCUGGGUGGUCAGUGGUCUGACUUGCACGGACCGGUGGCCUUGGCCAGGAGCGGUCCUGCGGGAAGCGCCUUUGCCCAGGCUGUAAUUUUAAUUUCCCUUGGAUGCUUGGCAAAGCCCCUCUGGGUGAGCCCCAGUGCCUGGCAGGAGCAGAGCGGGCUUCCAGGGAGGUAUUCACCUGGUCAGCGUCAGGAACCAUCCUACCUGAGGCCUCGGCUCCCUCUUUCCCUUCGGUCGCCGUGGGUGUGCCGGACGCCUCUGGCAGGACUAACCCCGUGGCUUUUACGUCCAGCGUGCUGUGCUGUGUGUGCCUGCAGUAUCUUGUACAAGACAAAGCUACCUUUCCUCGUGGGAACGGACUGGCCGGGCUUUGGCAAUCUGGCCCCUCGAAAGACUAAGUGACCUCUUCCAACAGGGGAAGACUUUCUGGCAAGCGGUGCCAGGAAGAACUGGAGUUUCUGGAGAAUAAAAGCUGGAAGCGUGCCCCUGAAAAUCCCCA
rnacentral:lncRNA from 1 species